rnacentral:tRNA from 1 species
GCGCAUUUGAGUACCUGGCUUCGAACCAGGUGGUCGGGGGUUCGAAUCCCUCCGGGCGCGCCA